rnacentral:rRNA from 1 species
GACGAACGCUGGCGGCGUGCCUAAUACAUGCAAGUAGGACGCAGUUGCGAACGGUUGAGUAACGCGUAGGUAACUACCUAUUAGAGGGGGAUAACUAUUGGAAACGAUAGCUAAUACCGCAUACUAGUAGAUGGACCUGCGUUGUAUUAGCUAGUAGGUAGGGUAAUGGCCUACCUAGGCAACGAUAGAGAGCCGAACCGAGGGGGUUAUCGGCAACACUGGGAAUGAGACACGGGCCAGACUCCCACGGGAGGGAGCAGUAGGGAAGCUUCGGCAAUGGGGGGAACCCUGACCGAGCAACGCCGCGUGAGUGAAGAAGGUUUUCGGAUCGUAAAGCUCUGUUGUGAAGGAAGCGGUACUUAACCAGAAAGGGACGGCUAACUACGUGCCAGCCGCCGCGGUAAUAC